rnacentral:rRNA from 1 species
CACGUAGGGGGCAAGCGUUGUCCGGAUUUAUUGGGCGUAAAGAGCUCGUAGGUGGUUCCGUAAGUCAGGUGUGAAACCUCCAGGCUCAACCUGGAGACGCCACUUGAUACUGCGGUGACUGGAGUCCGGUAGGGGAGCGUGGAAUUCCUGGUGUAGCGGUGAAAUGCGCAGAUAUCAGGAGGAACACCAGCGGCGAAGGCGGCGCUCUGGGCCGGUACUGACACUGAGAGCGAAAGCGUGGGGAGCGAACAGG